GUGGGGAAUCUUGCGCAAUGGGCGAAAGCCUGACGCAGCCAUGCCGCGUGAAUGAUGAAGGUCUUAGGAUUGUAAAAUUCUUUCACCGGGGACGAUAAUGACGGUACCCGGAGAAGAAGCCCCGGCUAACUUCGUGCCGGCAGCCGCGGUAAUACGAAGGGGGCUAGCGUUGCUCGGAAUUACUGGGCGUAAAGGGCGCGUAGGCGGACAGUUUAGUCAGAGGUGAAAGCCCAGGGCUCAACCUUGGAAUUGCCUUUGAUACUGGCUGUCUUGAGUACGGGGGAGGUGAGUGGAACUCCGAGUGUAGAGGUGAAAUUCGUAGAUAUUCGGAAGAACACCAGUGGCGAAGGCGACUCACUGGCCCGUUACUGACGCUGAGGCGCGAAAGCGUGGGGAGCAAACAGGAUUAGAUACCCGUGUAGUCC
rnacentral:rRNA from 1 species